GCCUGGCUGGCUCAGCCAAUAGAGCAUGUGACUCUUGCUCUCAGGGUCGUGAGUUCAAGCCCCACAUUGGGCA
rnacentral:tRNA from 1 species